AGCAGCAGCCGCGGGAAUACGUAGGUGGCAAGCGUUGUCCGGAAUUAUUGGGCGUAAAGGGCUCGCAGGCGGUUUCUUAAGUCUGAUGUGAAAGCCCCCGGCUCAACCGGGGAGGGUCAUUGGAAACUGGGAAACUUGAGUGCAGAAGAGGAGAGUGGAAUUCCACGUGUAGCGGUGAAAUGCGUAGAGAUGUGGAGGAACACCAGUGGCGAAGGCGACUCUCUGGUCUGUAACUGACGCUGAGGAGCGAAAGCGUGGGGAGCGAACAGGAUUAGAUACCCCCGUAGUCCCUGUCUCUUAUAA
rnacentral:rRNA from 1 species